rnacentral:rRNA from 1 species
AACGAACGCUGGCGGCAUGCCUAACACAUGCAAGUCGAACGGGAUCCUGGUUUCGGCCAGGUGAGAGUGGCGGACGGGUGAGUAACGCGUGGGAACCUGCCCAGUGGUGGGGGAUAACUGCGGGAAACUGCAGCUAAUACCGCAUGAGCCCGAAAGGGGAAAGAUUGAUCGCCAUUGGAGGGGCCCGCGUUCGAUUAGGUAGUUGGUGAGGUAACGGCUCACCAAGCCUUCGAUCGANAGCUGGUCUGAGAGGAUGAUCAGCCACACUGGGACUGAGAUACGGCCCAGACUCCUACGGGAGGCAGCAGUGGGGAAUAUUGCGCAAUGGGCGAAAGCCUGACGCAGCGACGCCGCGUGGGGAUGAAGGUCUUCGGAUUGUAAACCCCUUUCGGGAGGGAAGAUGGAAUGGGGUAACCCAUUCGACGUACCUCCAGAAGCAGCCACGGCUAACUUCGUGCCAGCAGCCGCCG